rnacentral:lncRNA from 1 species
CAGGGACCAGCCUCUCAGGGAAAACCAGGUAUAUUUUAUCACACCCUAAAUCUUAUGGUCGACUUUUCACAAUAGAAGAUUUACAGGUGAGAGCAACUCGUACGUGAAGAAGCCUUUGUGGUUUUGAAUGUCACUAAAAAGGCAACAGUUUUGGAGAAUGCAUCGUGCCUGAGAAUAUUCUAGAGCGUUCUCUGUCUUUUCUUACCGUGACCACUUAAGCA